CCUGUGUUUCGUCACAGCAACAAGACAAACAGAUUAGCAGGUUCUAAGUUAGAAAGGAGAACUCAUGAUUCUGAAACCAACUUUAGAGAAGAUACUUGAAGACAUCCAUUAGACUGAAGAGAAGGAUAAACAUAUCGAUGAGGCUAAGGAAACAGGAUACCAUGCUGGGAUAGCAGUUUACGAAAGGAGGAACAGAACUCCAAACUACAAAGUCAGCAAAACGGCAGGAGUUAAUACAGGGAAAGGAAAGCCAAGCUGAUGCUGGCCAGGGAAACGAAGCCGUGUCUUCCCAGGAAAUGACUAGAAAAAACCCGGAGACUGGAUAUCUCUUCUGGACACCACAUUCCACCACCUGAUGCUGCUGAC
ensembl:lncRNA